GGGUGUUUAGUACACAAAGAACUGCUAAUUCCGCGCCCUGGGGUUAAAUCCCCCAGACCCUUUA
rnacentral:tRNA from 1 species